rnacentral:lncRNA from 1 species
UUCUUCAGAUCAUCAUCAGAGUCAUCAUCGUAAUCGCGGAUUUCGAAUCGGUUGGGGGCGAAGAGAGACCAGAUCAGGUAAAAAGUCGCGGCGGUCAACGCGCCGCAACCGACGCCAAACAGAAGAGACGCAACGACGGUGAGAAUGUCCUUGGUGCGAUCGCGAAAUGACGAUCCGACGAAGGAGUCGAAGCCGAAGGGCUGGGGUCGCUUUUCCUCAUCGGCUUUCGCGCGAUCGAGGAAAAUUACGGGCUCGGGUUCGAGAUCUCUGGAUCCGGUGAAGAAGAAGGUGAUCGAUCGGCGUUCGGAGAGAGAGGAGGGGUUUCGGAGAGAGAAACUAGGAUUUUGAUCGACGGGGAAGGAGGAGGAGAAGAAGAUUAGGGUUUGGCAGGGGCCGGGCCGGCGUAGGCGGCGAUGGCGAGGAGGCCGAGGAGGAGAGAGAAUCGGAAGAGGAUACGGUGGCCCGAUGUCGCCAUUGAUGAGAGCGAGCGAGAGAAAUCCUUGGGAAAGGAUUGCAAGUCUUCACUAUAUUCGGCAAUUCUGA